rnacentral:tRNA from 1 species
AAACUAUAAAAUUUGUUUUGAAAACAAGUUAGGGUAAAAUUUACCGUAGUUUU